CAUUCUCAUUCCUACAUCUUCGUCUGAAAUAAAGAAAGAAAGAGAGAUUUGAAUUAAGGAAGAAAACCAAGAGAAAUCUAGAGAGAGAAACAAAAACCAGAAAUACAGAGAGCAAUCCGACCUUAUUUCGCCUCCAGAAUUAAGCUUGCAAAACACCGCAGCAAACACCAAACAGAGGGGUUCUUCUCUGCUGCACCAGAAGCGGCUCUGUGUUCGAAACAGCCCAGAACCUUCGAAUUCGACCCAAAUUCGUCACCGACUCUGUACCGCUGCACAGGCGAGUUGCCGACUGUUUUUCUUGUUGCAGACAUUUUCCAUUCGCGCGUUUUGCAUUUCGCUUCGUGCGUUAGUGAGGUAAGAGAGACAGUAAUCUAGUUUAUGUAAAUUUGGAAUUUUAUAGGCGCAUUUAGAAGGUGAAAAUCGCAUGAAAUUUACCCCCAGCAUGCUGUUAACAAAAACAGUGUGUGGGUGUGUGUGUGUGUGUUCAUGCAUAUUUUGUGUAAUUAAAACGUGUUUAAGUGUU